CCCUCGCGACCAUGGACUGUGCGUGCAGUUCAUACGUACAAUAGUAUCCGCAGGGUUCUAUAGACCGACUUUUAAAAGACUAUCAACAUGUAAGUUGUAGUGCAAAUUCAUUUUAAACCGCCACGGAGUGUCUUUUUGUCUUUAAAAAAAUGAUAGGUCGUCUUUAAUUUAAUUUUGAAUGUCAUUAGCCCUGAUAGACCGUUAGAGAGCGACAUUUUGACAUCGUACGAUUUGCAGUUUCACUCGACCUUAUGAAAGAAGCAAUAGAUGGCCCUGAGGUCAGCACAACAUUGUCCAGUCCAAUCUCUCCUCCGACCUCUUUCCCGUGCUGAGCUUCAAAGACGAUCUGAAAGACAUUCAAAGGCCACAGUGAGGAGCUCCGUCUGCCAGCCUUGGUCUCUGCUCUGGCUCCGCUCCCAUACGGGGUAAGCGCUGUUACCCAGCAGCACCCUGAGGGUCCCCACGUUACGGCCCACCACACGGUAGUCAAAGCCGUAGCAACACUCCAGCCUCCUGCCAUAGCGACAAACACCUGGUUGGUUUCCAGUGAGGACUUGUCGGUAGGGUCUUAAUAGAGAAAGACAGCAACAGAAGGUAUGUCAGAAGGACACUGUCUCAGCUCAAUCUGUAGCCCCACCUAGUUAAUACGAGGAACAUCAGAAGGCAAAUCGUUACCUUCAAGCGGACAACGAUGAAACAUUAAGGACAUAUUAUUACAAAAAUCGGCAGUUGUGUGACAAACCCCCCCCCAUCAUAAAUACUAUUUCCCCUCAAGGGCUUUUUUUUUUAGCUCCCCCUGUAAGUAAUAGACAGCUGACAGGAUGUUGGCUGCAGAUGGAGAAAAUAAAAACACUAAUCAGACACUUCCUGCGCUGCACAAUGAUGAAACUUUAUAUGUGCAUGUGUCCUCUUUUUUCCACUGUACCUUGAUCUUCACCUGACUCAAUUUCCUGGAGUCAAAUGACAUACAUGGUUAAUUUAUUCUCAGUUGCGGUCAGCAUUGCAUUCAAAAUAACCUACAGUACAUAUAGAUUACAUUGCACGUCUAUUUUUAACAGGUUGAUUAAGUUAAGAUACCAUUUGACUUUGACUUCGUAUGUAACUAAGUUCAUGUCAAAGUUACGCAUCCAAAUAUAUUAUUCAACUUUUAAGCGCGGGGCCAUGGUCUAAUAUCCCAGAUGUUGAGGUGUCCCGCAGAUAGCAUCCUAUAAGCAGCCUCGGCUCCAGUUGGACGGAGAGAAUCUGAGACUUUAUAGAAAUCAACCAGAAUAGCCCCUCGAGCGGCUCCUUAGAGCGACAGGUGCUCCUCACUCACUCAAGAGUUGCUGUGCCACAUUUAGCCGACACGCGGUCAUACCAGCUGCCGUACCAUCAAUGCCACAGCUUUCCCAGUAAAGGUUUGGGGAGAAUAAUUCGGUCAGAUAGGGGUGCUUGUUUUACACAUUAAGCUGCACUCGAGGUAAAAACGCGUGGAGAAACUGCUAGGUUAAAAUGGGAGUAAUUCCCUUUUUGGCAACAGUAGGUGAGCCAAAUGAGUGUGUGGCCCUUUAGGUUUGUUACUGGUGCCAAUGCAGAUACUCACUAUAUAAUGCAUAGAACUAUUAUCUGACAUUAUCUUGGAAGGGUCUUUAUAAAUCUCCACUGAGUACGUGUAAGUUCACACCUGUUUGUGGUCUCCC